rnacentral:rRNA from 1 species
UACGUAGGGUGCAAGCGUUGUCCGGAAUUAUUGGGCGUAAAGAGCUCGUAGGCGGUCUGUCGCGUCUGCUGUGAAAACUCGGGGCUUAACCCCGGGCCUGCAGUGGGUACGGGCAGCCUAGAGUGCGGUAGGGGAGACUGGAAUUCCUGGUGUAGCGGUGAAAUGCGCAGAUAUCAGGAGGAACACCGGUGGCGAAGGCGGGUCUCUGGGCCGUAACUGACGCUGAGGAGCGAAAGCAUGGGGAGCGAACAGG